CACCCCGGGGGUCCCGCCGCGAGGCCGGCAGGCUGCGCAGGGUACGUGGCGGGGCCUCGACGCGCGCCUGGCCCGGGCCGGGAGUCGCGGCGCAGGGAGCUGGGCCGUGCGGGCUCCGGCCGCCUUCAGCUCGCCGCGGGCACCCCUGGCUGGCAGCGCUUCCGUGGCGGGACGUGGCCGCGGAGGGCGCGCUUUCCGGGACCGGGCGACGAGGCGCCCCUCCGCGAGGAUGACAGUCCUGGCCGCGCCCGGGCCGCCUCCCCAGCCUUCCGCAACUCUGUCUCCCAAAGCGGCGCCGUGCCCCGGACCUCUCACCCUGCCCGGUCGGCCACCCGCGCCCUUCCGCUCCACGGACUUGGGCCUGUCUGCAUUGUGGCUAGUGGGUCACUGCAUGGGUGACCCCCCAGGACCCUAUUGUAGCAAAAACCUGUUUGGUUUAGUGUCUGUACUGCCCUGGGCCUGAUGCUCAGUGGGACAGGUUGUGUCUGUCUGGGUCACCCCAGUGUCCCAGGUGCCUAGCAGAGCAAGAGCAUAUGGAUCCCCAGGUUGUGUAUGUGCAUCAACCCAGAGACACAGGCAAAGAUGUCUAAGGUCGUUGGUCAUCAGGAGACUCAAAUCAAAACCACAGUGAGACCACCUUUGACACCCAUGGCUAGAAUCAAAAGACAGUUACAGGUGUUGACAAGGAUGUGGUAAGGCUGGGGCCCUCACCCAGUGUUGGUGCGUGUGCCCAGGAAACAUCAAGUCACCCUGUAACCUCAGUUCUACCUCUGGGUACGUACCAAGGGAAAUGACAACACGUGUCCACAGGAAAACAAGGUUUACAGCAUCAUUAUUAACAGUAGUCAAAAGGUGGAAGCAACCCAAGUGUCCGCAAAUGGAUGGAUGGACAAACCAAAUGUGGUCCAUCCACCCCAUGGAAUAGUACCCAGUUGUAAGAGGGGAUGAAGCGCUGACAUGCGUUGCAACAUGCUUGACCUCAGGAACAUCAUGCUAUGCAAGAGAAGCAGUCACAAAAGGCCAUAUAGUGUAGAAUUCCAUUUAUAUGAGCAUCCAAAAUUGGUGAAUCCACAAAGUAGCCUGGUGGCUGCUACUGCUAAAUAUUUAGGGCUUUUUUCUGUGGGGACAAAAAUAUUCCCAAAUUGAUGAUGGUGAUGGUCCCACUAGAAAUCAUUGAAUUAAACACUUUAAGUGGGUGUAUCUUACAGUAUGUGAAAUAUCACAGAAAAAGCUGUUACAAUAAUAACUUUUGAAAGCAUGGCCAUUUUGCCACUUUUCAUGUCUUUUUAGCAUCUGCCUCUUUUUUUCCACAGAGAGGGGCUGAGAAGGGAGGAAGCACUGUGUAACAUCAUGUGACCGUGUGGCCCUGCAUGGCCAGCAGUGGGAGGAGGGUCAUUCCGACUGGGCUGCAGACGCAAGACCAGCUGUGACCAAGCACUGGGAUUCCCGCUGCUCCCCAGCGGGGGCUCCUUUGAGGAAUCUUGUCUGAGGGCUUCUGGUUUCUCUCUGAAGAAAGCAAGGACAUUUGGCAGAAGGAGGAGGAGGAAGCCGCUGAGGCAGGAGGUCUGAGAGGAAAGGCCAGCCGCAGGCUGUGGCCCCUGCAUUCUCUCCCAGCGGAGUCUGGUGCACACAAGACACCAGCCAACCAGAGACAGCCUGGGGUAGGCAGCCUGCCCCCAGGAAGGUGCCCCCUGAGGACGCAGGAAAAGCCCUCUUGGCCAGAGGGGUGAUGGAUCAAAGCCAGUGGUGUUCCUGGCAGAAACACACAUGGGUUUCAUGAUCACAGCUCCUUACACAGAUUCAUCAAAGGAAAAUAUCUGUGGGGUCAUUUCAAAGACCAGCCAGCUGAAGCCCUGCCAGGUUCUUUGGCAAAUGUUCUGGUCUCUGCAGGUGGGAGGUGCUGGGUGCUGGUGCCCAGUCACUGUGGAGCCUCAGCCCCUUCUCUGCUUUGUGGAGCACAUGCCCGACCGCUUCCAGGGCCGAGGGCGGGCCCCUCCUCUGCUGAGCUUGGGUGCUUCCACCGUGGAAUCAAACAGCUUCCUAGAUGAACCUUGGAGACAUGGCGCUCAGUGAAAUAAGCCUGUCAUAUAAGGGAUCAAUAUUGUAUGAUUCCACUUAUAGAAUAUUCAAAUUCAUAACAAUACAAAGUAGAAUGGUGGGAGCCAGGGGCUGGAGGAAGGAAAAAUACGGAAUUAUUGUGUAGUGGGUAUAGAGUUUCAGUUUGGGAAGACUAACGCAUUCUGCAGACAGAUGGUGAUGAUGGCUACACAACAGUAUGAAUGCGCUUAAUCCCACUGAACUGUAUACACUUGAAGUGAUUGAAAUGGUAAACCUGAUAUUAUGGAUAUUGUACCAUAAUAAUUUUUUAAAGUAUAUCUUCCCAGCUUUAAACCCUAGGCUAGGAAUUCUAGGACCUAGGAAACCCAUGAUUUUAUUUCUUUCCCCCUUUGUAAUUUUUAAUACAUUUCUGUCUUUCACAACUGUAAUCUCUCUGGCCCAAUGGGAACCUACUCAGAAGACCCUGAGAACCUAAUUUCUACUGGAAAAGUAGACCUGUCAUUCUACACCCAGCACCUGGAUGGUUUUCCACCUACCUACUUAGUCCUGUAUCGGGAGACAAAUUCAUUAGUAUAUGAAGGUGAGAGAAUCACUCAACAGAAAGACAUUUUGUUAAGAAUACUACAUUUAAGGAACUAGGUUCAGGGACAAAAACUGAUGCUACUGCCUUGGUAAUUAUCUACAAUCUGAGAACAUUAAAAUGUGCUGUGCGGCUACAGAAAUCAGGUGGUGUUUCACUGUUGCAACAAUAUGUAGAUCAGGGAAGAAAACUGAGUAAGAAGUACAGGAAUAUGGAAUCAAAGACACAGACCAUAAGGGCAGAAUCUAAAUAUGAAACGAAACUUUAAAUUGGAAAAAUAAACUUUAAUUUUGACAGAUGAGCACAUAGUAUGACCAAAUGUAAGAGGGAGUUUCAUGCCGUGAAGCAUGCCCCAUUCUGUUUGAAUGGCUUCGCUUCUAAGGCUUUGUCUCUAAGAUGCUGCUGAUUUUAAGAUGCACCAUUACUGCCAAGAAAGGGAGAGAUACUGCCAUUUAGACUGUCCUGUCCAUUUCUAUCUUAUCUGCAUUAAAAGAGCUCUCUUACAGUUACUGAUGCCAGUGAAGUGCUACAGUGUCUGCUUCCAUGUUUGCAAAUUCUCUAAGAAAAGAAGGGUUCUUAUUGGGUAUACAGAUUUGAGUAUAGAAUUUUUUGCUUUUUUUAACCCUAAAAUAGUUGGAACAUUUUCAUAAGUUUAGCUUUCAUUUUUUAAUGCAAUAUCAUCAACUAUUUUCUAAUCCAUUAAUUAUUAGGCAUCUCUGGCCCCAGUUACAGUAACUGGCCUUUCCUGAAGCAAUUACCCUGAGUCACUAGGACUUCCUGUAUUGGGUGUGAAUUUGAAACAGUAACUCUCAAACCCGGCUACACAGCGGAGCCACCCUGUCGGCAACCUUGGGUCCACAGGCUCUGCAAUGUCACCCUGGUCACCCCAGCAGGGGUGCCCGAGGAAAGGCUUCAUCGAGAAAUAGCUGACCCAGGAAGGGGAGUCCGAUGGAAUUCUGAGUGGCCUGGCGCACUGGGUUCAGGGGUGGCAGCGAGGGGAGAGGACAUCCUCAACCUCUGCUUCCGGAGGUUCAGUGUUACCUCGAUGCCGAUGGAAGCGCAGACACAAAAGGCCAUGUGUGCUGUGAUGCCACUUACAUGAAAUGUCCAUAGAAGUAAAUCCAUAAAACAGA